CAGCCGCCGCGGGAAUACGUAGGUGGCAAGCGUUGUCCGGAAUUAUUGGGCGUAAAGGGCUCGCAGGCGGUUUCUUAAGUCUGAUGUGAAAGCCCCCGGCUCAACCGGGGAGGGUCAUUGGAAACUGGGAAACUUGAGUGCAGAAGAGGAGAGUGGAAUUCCACGUGUAGCGGUGAAAUGCGUAGAGAUGUGGAGGAACACCAGUGGCGAAGGCGACUCUCUGGUCUGUUACUGACGCUGAGGAGCGAAAGCGUGGGGAGCGAGCAGGAUUAGAUACCCCUGUAGUCCCUGUCUCUUAUAC
rnacentral:rRNA from 1 species